rnacentral:rRNA from 1 species
AGUAAUGCGUGACCAACCUCGCCCCAUGCUCCAGAAUAGCUCUUGGAAACGGGUGGUAAUGCUGGAUGCUCCAACUUGACGCAUGUCUUGUUGGGAAAGUGUUUAGUGGCAUGGGAUGGGGUCGCGUCCUAUCAGCUUGUAGGCGGGGUAAUGGCCCACCUAGGCUUCGACGGGUAGCCGGCCUGAGAGGGCGGACGGCCACAUUGGGACUGAGAUACGGCCCAGACUCCUACGGGAGGCAGCCAGCC